CCUGACAUUAUGGCAAAAUACACUUGUCGUAUUGAGGCAGACAAAUCCUUGUACCCUGUAUUGUUGUCAAAUGGAAACCUUACAGAGCAAGGAGAUCUUGAGGUACAUUUGGAUCUUUCUGUAUUAUGUGUUGAAAGUUGUUUUAUUGUAACCCUCAUGCAACUCAUAAAAUUAUUAUUCUCAUUUUUUUUUUUCAGGGGGGGAAACAUUUUACUGUUUGGGUGGAUCCUUUCAAGAAACCCAGCUAUCUUUUUGCAUUGGUUGCUGGUCAGUUGAAGAGCAGAGAUGACACAUUUACGACCUGUUCAGGCCGUAAGGUCUCCCUUAGAAUCUGGACCCCUGCUCAAGAUCUGCCU
rnacentral:lncRNA from 1 species